AGAUUUUUACCUUGUCAGCUCGGGGAUUCAAUCUUGCAACCUCACAGUUAACUAGUCCAACGCUAUAACCACCUGCCUCUCAUUGCACUCCACGAGGAGCCUGCCUGUUACGCGAAUGCAGUAAGAAGCCAAGAUGCAUCUCUUCUGGUGGAUCACCCACAUCUUUCUAUCCCUCCCUUCUCUCCUCUCUCUUGUCCAAUCCCUCCCUUCUCUCCUCUCUCUUGUCCAAUCCCUCACGUGCGACAAUGAGACACAGUAUGCUUGGUAAGCCAAUGGUGCUGCAACAAAUGUCCACCAGGACCUCUGCCAUAAACAGAGUAAGUCAACCACCUUUUCAUCAGUUGCUGACUGCAGAGGCAAGACACUUCCAAUCUCAUCUCUGUAAGCUUCUCCAGUCCCAUGGGAAACAGUGUCCAGCGGCCACAUGUUCCAUGAAAAAGCUGCAGUUCCAUGAAAAAGCUGCAGUUCCAUGAAAAAGCUGCAGCAUCUACCUCAAAAAGUACUACACAAGAUCUUCACAAAACCUACUGGUUAUACUACUUGAUUGAUACUGAGAUGUGUAGUGAUUUAUGUAAUGAUAAAUUGGGACAUUUUUACUACUGGUGAACCCUACAUAUUUCCUAUUUAAAUCACUACAUAUUUCUCCCUUAAUGACUACUGUGUAACUAAUGAGCUUUUGGGUAUCUAAUACUUAAAACCUACACAUACUUAAACAAUUCCUACAUGUUCACUACUGAAUGCCUACACAUUACUGCUGUAUGCCUACUCAAUCCCUAUUGAUACUACUGCCAGUGCCAUCUGUGUGUUUAGUGUUGUCACUACUGAAUUACUACACAUUACUGCUGUAUGCCUACUCAAUCCCUAUUGAUACUACUGCCAGUGCCAUCUGUGUGUUUAGUGUUGUCACUACUGAAUGCCUACACAUUACUGCUGUAUGCCUACUCAAUCCCUAUUGAUACUACUGCCAGUGCCAUCUGUGUGUUUAGUGUUGUCACUACUGAAUUACUACACAUUACUGCUGUAUGCCUACUCAAUCCCUAUUGAUACUACUGCCAGUGCCAUCUGUGUGUUUAGUGUUGUCACUACUGAAUGCCUACACAUUACUGCUGUAUGCCUACUCAAUCCCUAUUGAUACUACUGCCAGUGCCAUCUGUGUGUUUAGUGUUGUCACUACUGAAUUACUACAAUGCCUACACAUUACUGCUGUAUGCCUACUCAAUCCCUAUUGAUACUACUGCCAGUGUCAUCUGUGUGUUUAGUGUUGUCACUACUGAAUUACUACACAAUGCCUACACAUUACUGCUGUAUGCCUACUCAAUCCCUAUUGAUACUACUGCCAGUGUCAUCUGUGUGUUUAGUGUUGUCACUACUGAAUUACUACACAAUGCCUACACAUUACUGCUGUAUGCCUACUCAAUCCCUAUUGAUACUACUGCCAGUGCCAUCUGUGUGUUUAGUGUUGUCACUACUGAAUUACUACACAAUGCCUACACAUUACUGCUGUAUGCCUACUCAAUCCCUAUUGAUACUACUGCCAGUGCCAUCUGUGUGUUUAGUGUUGUCACUACUGAAUUACUACACAAUGCCUACACAUUACUGCUGUAUGCCUACUCAAUCCCUAUUGAUACUACUGCCAGUGCCAUCUGUGUGUUUAGUGUUGUCACUACUGAAUUACUACACAAUGCCUACACAUUACUGCUGUAUGCCUACUCAAUCCCUAUUGAUACUACUGCCAGUGUCAUCUGUGUGUUUAGUGUUGUCACUGCUGAAUGGCUCCUGAUCCUUUUUCCUUUCCUACAUAAACCCUUUUCAAUUACUAUUAAAAACAUUUACUACUGUUUGCUUAUUCAAAAUCACUAUUGACAUCUUGUUUAACUACUAGACUGGUGCACUUGUUGUUUCUAACUGUAGUUAUAUCAUCAAACAAGAAAUAAUACGCUUAUACAAACUUUAUAGCACUUUGUAUUAAU